rnacentral:rRNA from 1 species
UACGUAGGUGGCGAGCGUUGUCCGGAAUUAUUGGGCGUAAAGAGCGCGCAGGUGGUUAAUUAAGUCUGAUGUGAAAGCCCACGGCUUAACCGUGGAGGGUCAUUGGAAACUGGUUGACUUGAGUGCAGAAGAGGGAAGUGGAAUUCCAUGUGUAGCGGUGAAAUGCGUAGAGAUAUGGAGGAACACCAGUGGCGAAGGCGGCUUCCUGGUCUGCAACUGACACUGAGGCGCGAAAGCGUGGGGAGCAAACAGG